rnacentral:lncRNA from 1 species
GUUGCUAGCGCAUCCGCAAAAUCAUUCUUAUUUUCAGGAAUGUGGAGGAAGGAUUUUUCUUCGAACUCUGAAGCCAUUUGUAGAACCUGCCGAUGUUAAGGCAGCAACUGUUGAACCUGUUGAAGAGCUUUUUUUCUUUUUCUUUUUUUUUUCUUUUUUUUUCUUUUUUUUUUCUUUUUUCUUUUUUUUUCUAUUAGAUCAUGGAAAAGAGCCAUAUGGUUCACUGAUAGGUAGCUCCGGCAUUG